rnacentral:rRNA from 1 species
GAAACCGUGUGCUUACAAGUAGUCAGAGCCCGUUAAUGGGUGAUGGCGUGCCUUUUGUAGAAUGAACCGGCGAGUUACGAUUUGAUGCAAGGUUAAGCAGUGAAUGUGGAGCCGUAGCGAAAGCGAGUCUGAAUAGGGCGUUGAGUAUUUGGUCGUAGACCCGAAACCAGGUGAUCUACCCUUGGUCAGGUUGAAGUUCAGGUAACACUGAAUGGAGGACCGAACCGACUUACGUUGAAAAGUGAGCGGAUGAACUGAGGGUAGCGGAGAAAUUCCAAUCGAACCUGGAGAUAGCUGGUUCUCUCCGAAAUAGCUUUAGGGCUAGCCUCAAGUGAUGAUUAUUGGAGGUAGAGCACUGUUUGGACGAGGGGCCCUUCUCGGGUUACCGAAUUCAGACAAACUCCGAAUGCCAAUCAAUUUAACUUGGGAGUCAGAACAUGGGUGAUAAGGUCCGUGUUCGAAAGGGAAACAGCCCAGACCACCAGCUAAGGUCCCAAAAUAUAUGUUAAGUGGAAAAGGAUGUGGCGUUGCCCAGACAACUAGGAUGUUGGCUUAGAAGCAGCCAUCAUUUAAAGAGUGCGUAAUAGCUCACUAGUCGAGUGACACUGCGCCGAAAAUGUACCGGGGCUAAACAUAUUACCGAAGCUGUGGAUUGUCCGUAGGACAAUGGUAGGAGAGCGUUCUAAGGGCGUUGAAGCAUGAUCGCAAGGACAUGUGGAGCGCUUAGAAGUGAGAAUGCCGGUGUGAGUAGCGAAAGACGGGUGAGAAUCCCGUCCACCGAUUGACUAAGGUUUCCAGAGGAAGGCUCGUCCGCUCUGGGUUAGUCGGGUCCUAAGCUGAGGCCGACAGGCGUAGGCGAUGGAUAACAGGUUGAUAUUCCUGUACCACCUAGUAUCGUUUUAAUCGAUGGGGGGACGCAGUAGGAUAGGCGAAGCGUGCUAUUGGAUUGCACGUCCAAGCAGUAAGACUGAGUGUUAGGCAAAUCCGGCACUCAUAAGGUCAAGCUGUGAUGGGGAGAGGAAAUUGUUUCCUCGAGUCGUUGAUUUCACACUGCCAAGAAAAGCCUCUAGAUAGAUAACAGGUGCCCGUACCGCAAACCGACACAGGUAGUCAAGAUGAGAAUUCUAAGGUGAGCGAGCGAACUCUCGUUAAGGAACUCGGCAAAAUGACCCCGUAACUUCGGGAGAAGGGGUGCUCUUUAGGGUUAACGCCCAGAAGAGCCGCAGUGAAUAGGCCCAAGCGACUGUUUAUCAAAAACACAGGUCUCUGCUAAACCGUAAGGUGAUGUAUAGGGGCUGACGCCUGCCCGGUGCUGGAAGGUUAAGAGGAGUAGUUAGCUUCUGCGAAGCUACGAAUCGAAGCCCC